rnacentral:lncRNA from 1 species
AAUCCAAUUGACACUUCAUAAGCUCAAUUACUUAUUCCAGGUCUAAUUCCUUUGUUAUGUGACCUCAUAGGUUCAAUUCUAUCUGGUAGUGAGACAUACAAUGAUCUCUAUCAUCAUAUCCUUGAAACUCUUUUCAAUGGAUCGGAACAAUUCCACUCUAACUCAAUAAGGAUUGUUGAUCCGGAACAAUCCUAGUGAGCUCUCAUAAUCUACCAGUGACACCUAGCAGUAUGUAGUGGCAACCCAGUAGAAAUUAAAUGAAUCUCUAGGUAUAGUUAACGUAUGAUUCAGUCUCUCUAUCGUGAGUCCCGACUAGAUGGCAGGUUAUGGAUAAAUUAUCAAAUCUCAACAUCAGUCAUAUGAUAGAUUCAAUCAGCUUAAGUCCAUAUGUGAUUCUAUGAAAAUUCUUUUUCAUUAAUCACACUGCUAUGACAUAGACUUGAGGACUCAGUCUCUUAAAUCCCAU